GUGCUACAGAUGUAUGAGAUGCAGCUCAACAAGGAAAUGAAAGCCUAGGUUUACAGAGGUGUGAAAGCCCCCAUAAUAUGUGCCAAUCGUUCCCUCAAAACACAGGUUUUAAGAGGCAGAUAAACGUUUGCAACAGAAAGCUCUGUUUUUGGAGGGAAAAUAGGAAGAGAUGCUACCUAAUGAGUUCCUUUUGGCUGUAAUCCAUCUUUCAGCAUUUGUCAGUGGUCACACAUGUGUGGAACAGCAGCCAAAUGCUGUACAUCUCACUGAGGGAGAAAAUGUUACCCUGUCAUGUCACAUCUAUGUAGAGGAAGGAGAGAAAAUUACUAAAUUCCAUGUAGAGUGGUACAGGGAGGGUGCUGAUAGACACCCAUACGAGGUUGGAAACCUUUCCCAGCUCAGAGGAAGGUUUCGUGAGAACACCAAUAUCAAACAGCAAAAUGCAAGCCUUUCACUCUUCAUGCUCAAGCUAAAUGACACCGGCAAGUACUUCUGCAAUUUCAUCUACCGGAUUGGUCAUAAAAUAUUGCAGAAUUAUGCGAACGGCACAAGCCUCAUUGUCCAAGAGGCGGUGACCACAGACACAACCAUCCCCAGUACCACAAAUAAGACUGGUAAUAAUACUGAUGCUGAUACUGAGCACACCACCACAGAGAAUGUCCUUCUCACAUUCCUUCUUUAUCUUCCAUUAUCAAUAAAGUUUGUGGCAACUGUUUUUAUAUGCUUUUAUACAUUGUUUUCCUAUACAUCAAUUGCUUUUUAUUGUCCUGGUUUACUAUCAAAUUUAAGUUGACAUCUUUAUAAAUGUCUCUUUAUGUCUCUUGUUUUUCACCUAAUAAGUGAAUCUUAUGACUCAUAAACACCCACAGAUGAGUAUGUCAAAUGUUUCUUCUGCGCAUAAAUAUUAUAAUUAUGACAGUCCUUGGUGUUUGUUCUGAAUUGUGUUCUCAAUUAUGAAAAAUGCGUGAAAUGUGUGUCAGUGCAUGAAAGUGGCUAUAGGGAGGAGUAUUAUUUCUUCUUUAUCCUCACAUGAGGAAAAAUUUAUGUAUUAGUAGUAGAUUAACAUAAAUAUUGGUUUGGCUCAAGUGCUGUUAUUUUUCCCCCAGGACAUCAUGGACAGUGUGAAGAUGUGUUUUAAUUUUAAGCUAUUAUAAGAACAUGACAUAUCGAAGACCCUUUACUUCAUAAAUCUUUCAGUCUGUUAUACACUUUUAAAUGCUGUGGUGUUUCUGACAGUGAGUAUGUUUAUGCACAUCAGUAUUCCGAUAUUAAUCGUAAUUUGGUGAUAUUCUUAUUAGUAUUGAGUAAUGUAAACUCCACAAACCAACUCACCAAUUCAGAUUAAGAUAAUAUUCUGAUUUCCCAAAUUGUGAUUCCCAACCCUGAAUUAUGCUUGAAAUUUGUUGCAUGUAAAAACCUCAUUCAGAAAAUCUAAGGAAUUGUGGGUGCUAACAUAUGCAUAGCUUCAGGCUGGGUAUUUAGGAAUGGCAACUCUGGCAUACUUACAACAACCAUGUAUAUAGGAAUAUUCUAACACCUGUACACAUAUAUCAUAUAUAUUGUAUUCAGAAUCUGGCUGCAACCCAAAUUACCCUUAAAUGGAAUUUGAUGUGCAUGUAAACGUAGUCAUUGUCUUUACUGAGCUAUAUUGAUAUAGCGUCUCAGUCUGAGAUUAUUGAUAUUGACAGUAAACCUUGAUUGAUUUCUAACAUCUGUACAAAAUCUGUGUCAAAUAUGUGUCAUAGUUGAAUCAAAUGACUUCUACAUUAAUUAAAAUUAAUUUUUGACUUAA